ensembl:lncRNA MIR9-3HG MIR9-3 host gene
AGAAGCACUGGGUAAAUGCACGACUUGUUCUUGCCUUCUAAAGCAGAGAGGAGCUUUUGUGGGUAGUUCCUACAGGGAUACAUGGUAGAAAAUUCACCAAACCCAGUGCUGGAGUGAAGCCCCAGAGAGAUUGGUGAGGGUGAUUUCCCAGGAAGACGCAGUGUGCUCUGACUUCUGUGACAGACAUGCUCUGGAGUCAGAAGACAGCGAAAAGAGAAGCAGAAGCCCCGGUGGCAAGAGUCUGAAGCAGGAAGGAUGACUGUAGCCUGUGGAUUGUACUGCAGUAGGAAACUGUCCUAGCAAGGCUCCACUUUGCCCCAGCUUCAAGCUGGAAAGGAGGAGAACAUGAAACAUUGCUUGAAGACAAUGGCCGAGACAGCAGGUCCCACCCUGCACAGCCACCAGCAUCUCUCCCCUCAGCCCUGUCUCCUCUUCUGCAGUUGGGAUCUGCACAUUUAAGCCUGAAAUUGUCCUGUGAAGUGAAGUAUGAUCGGACAGCCUCUUUUCAGCUUUUAUGACAAUGGAGACAGAGGAAUUGUGGCUCUUGCCAAGGUCACAGGAUUGGAAUACAGAGCCAAGCCACCCCAGGACAUGCAAGAGCCUCAGAAGGGAAAAAAGCCCAGCAGGAAGGGAGAACAAGUAGCCUCUGUCCUGAAGUUGUAACAGCCAGGGGCCAGGAUGGAGGAGGAGGACCCCAUAAUCUGCCCAUCUGGGACUUGGCAGGGGACCUGGGAAAAUGUACCCCAACCCAUCCCUUAAGGGCCUUUGUCUUUGGCCCAUUGGCCUAGC